GCGGAGGAAAAGAAACCAACAGGGAUUGCCUCAGUAACGGCGAGUGAAGCGGCAACAGCUCAAAUUUGAAAUCUGGCCCUUUCAGGGUCCGAGUUGUAAUUUGCAGAGGGUGCUUUGGUGUCGGCCGUGGUCUAAGUUCCUUGGAACAGGACGUCACAGAGGGUGAGAAUCCCGUACGUGGCCGCCGGUCUUCACCGUGUAAAGCCCCUUCGACGAGUCGAGUUGUUUGGGAAUGCAGCUCUAAAUGGGAGAUACAUUUCUUCUAAAGCUAAAUAUUGGCCAGAGACCGAUAGCGCACAAGUAGAGUGAUCGAAAGAUGAAAAGCACUUUGGAAAGAGAGUCAAAAAGCACGUGAAAUUGUUGAAAGGGAAGCGCUUGCAGCCAGACGUGCCCGCAGUUGCUCACCUGGGCUCUCGCCCGGGGCAUUCUUCUGCGGGCAGGCCAGCAUCAGUUCGGGCGGUUGGAUAAAGGCCUCUAUCACGUAUCUUCCUUCGGGAUGACCUUAUAGGGGAGGCGCAACACGACCAGCCUGAACUGAGGACCGCGCAUCAGCUAGGAUGCUGGCGUAAUGGCUGUAAGCGGCCCGUCUUGAAACACGGACCAAGGAGUCUAACAUCUAUGCGAGUGUUUGGGUGUAAAGCCCGGGCGCGCAAUGAAAGUGAACGGAGGUGGGAACCCCUCGGGGUGCACCAUCGACCGAUCCUGAAGUCUUCGGAUGGAUUUGAGUAAGAGCAUAGCUGUUGGGACCCGAAAGAUGGUGAACUAUGCCUGAAUAGGGUGAAGCCAGGGGAAACCCUGGUGGAGGCUCGCAGCGGUUCUGACGUGCAAAUCGAUCGUCAAAUUUGGGCAUAGGGGCGAAAGACUAAUCGAACCAUCUAGUAGCUGGUUCCUGCGU
rnacentral:sRNA from 1 species